rnacentral:lncRNA from 1 species
GACAUAGGGUCAUGGGCACAUAGGAGAAGGCCACAGGAGGAUGGAAGCUGAGAUUGGGGGUGAUGCCUCUAUAAGCCAAGGAAUGCUAGGGAUUCUGGACACCAAUAGGAGCUGAAAAAGUCAAGAAUGACCCUCCUCUAGACACUUCAGUGGGAACCUGGCCCUGCCGACAUACAGCUUGAUUUUGGACUUCUGGCCUUCAGAACUAUGAAAGAAGAAAUUUCUGUUGUUUUAAGCCACCUACUGUGUGACACUUGGUUACAGCAGUCCCAGGAAACUAAGACAACUUGUAUUAUCAUUUAGAUAAUUUUUUUCCUUAAAUUGAUUCCUUUUUACAUAGACAUAUUCAUUUAAAAAGUAAACUUUAUAGCAGUGCUAUGCCUGGAGGAAAAGCAAUAACAUUUUCCACAUGUCAAGUUGUCGAGGAGAAAUAUAAAAUUAUUGCCCUGAGCUUAUUUGUCAGUGAACCACCUGAUGGCUACCAUUUUUUGGAUACCUCUUGGUUUAGGAGCCAGGGGCUCUUUGUACUGGUUUAAUACUCUUUCAUCCCAGGCUUUGAGACAAAUAGUUUCUAGCUGAAAACUUUAACUUUCCACAUGGUCAGUGUCGCAUGAGGCUUUGGGCCGAAGAUGAACAGAAAUCUUAAUUUGGAUUGUCGUAGACAAGAAGGAACUUUAUUAUCGCAAGUAACAACAAGUCCAGAGAUAACGUAGGCCUCAGGCUCUCUCCAUUAACUGUAGCUUCUCCCCAUUUUGAGGAGAGGAUCGUUGAACUGGAAGUGGCGGCCUGUUGCUGUUUGCAGCCUUUCUGCAUCUCCAAGAGGCAAGUGAUAAGAGCGAGAGUCCUAGACCACCGGUAGGAGGGCUGUCCGUCUGCAGAGGGACAGGACACAUCAGUAGUUCCCAGUCGUCACCAGUGAAGUUCUUUGGCCACAGGACAGAGCCAUGCCAACCUGCCCCACACAUCCUUUAAUGGACAUCGCGUUCCUAUCUCUGACCAAAGGCUCAGUGAUCCAGUCUCUCGUGCCCUCAUCCUCUUCGCCUUUCUGUGGGCUGUUGAUGAGCUCAUAUUCAAGUCUAAAUUGCAGCAGAAGUAAUGAAAUCUCAAGCCACGGUUCUUCCUUGUUAUCAUUUUUAGUGCUUUUCACUGUGAGCAUGACGCACCUCGUACAUGACUUUUCAGUUUAGACUAUGAUGGCACACUGGCCAAGGAAAUACGCACGUAAAUUAUGUCAGUGGGGGCAUCUGAGUGGCUCAGUCGGUUAAGCAUCCGACUUCAGCUCAGGUCAUGAUCUCAUGGUUUGUGAGUUCGAGCCCCGCAUUGGGCUCCGUGCUGACAGCUCAGAGCCUGGAGCCUGCUUUGGAUUCUGUGUCUCAUUCUUUCUCUGCCUCUCCCCCACAUGUGCUCUGUCUCCCUC